rnacentral:misc_RNA from 1 species
AACGCAACUUGCGCCCUCUGGUAUUCCGGAGGGCAUGCCUGUUUGAGUGUCAUGUAGAAUCAUCUAAUCAGGUUUCUGAUCAAGGUGGAUUUGGGAGCUUUUGCCAUUUACUUGGCUCUCCUUAAAAGCAUUUAUGCAGACGUAAUAAGUUUCGUCGUACGCAUAUAUUCUAUAUUUUGUACUCUGGCCUCAAAUCAGGUAGGGCUACCCGCUGAACUUAA